rnacentral:misc_RNA from 1 species
GAUGAAGAACGCAGCGAAAUGCGAUAAGUAAUGUGAAUUGCAGAAUUCAGUGAAUCAUCGAAUCUUUGAACGCACAUUGCGCCCAUUAGCAUUCUAGAGGGCAUGCCUGUUCGAGCGUCAUUUCAACCCUUAAGCCCUGUUGCUUAGCGUUGGGAGCCUACAGUACUGUAGCUCCCCAAAGUUAGUGGCGGAGUCGGUUUCACACUCUAGACGUAGUAAUUUUUUCUCGUCUGUAGUUGAGCCGGUCCCCUGCCGUAAAACACCCAAUUUAUCAAGGUUGACCUCGGAUCAGGUAGGAAUACCCGCUGAACUUAAGCAUAUCAAUAAGCGGAGGA